rnacentral:rRNA from 1 species
AACGAACGCUGGCGGCGUGCCUAACACAUGCAAGUCGAACGAGAAAGGGGCUUCGGCUCCGAGUAAAGUGGCGCACGGGUGAGUAACACGUGGGUAACCUGCCUCUAAGAUUGGGAUAACUCGUCGAAAGAUGAGCUAAUACCGAAUAAGACCACAGUUCCCGCGGGAACAGGGGUCAAAGGUAGCCUCUGCUUGCAAGCUAUCACUUAGAGAUGGGCCUGCGCACCAUUAGCUAGUUGGUAGGGUAACGGCCUACCAAGGCAAAGAUGGUUAGCUGGUCUGAGAGGAUGAUCAGCCACACUGGAACUGAGACACGGUCCAGACUCCUACGGGAGGCAGCAGGGGGGAAUAUUGCGCAAUGGGCGAAAGCUUGACGCAGCAACGCCGCGUGAGUGAUGAAGGCCUUCGGGUCGUAAAGCUCUGUCGGGAGGAACGAAUGCUCCUGAGGUUAACAGCCUCGGGAGGUGACGGUACCUUCAAAGGAAGCACCGGCUAACCCUGUG